rnacentral:rRNA from 1 species
GAGUUUGAUUCCUGGCUCAGGAUGAACGCUAGCUACAGGCUUAACACAUGCAAGUCGAGGGGCAGGCAUGUUGGUUGCUUGCAACCAAUGAUGGCGACCGGGCGCACGGGUGAGUAACGCGUAUCCAACCUACCCUUGUCCAUCGGAUAACCCGUCGAAAGGCGGCCUAACACGAUAUGCGGUUCACAGCAGGCAUCUAAGGUGAACGAAAUGUGAAGGAGAAGGAUGGGGAUGCGUCUGAUUAGCUUGUUGGCGGGGUAACGGCCACCAAGGCGACGAUCAGUAGGGGUCUGAGAGGAAGGUCCCCACAUUGGAACUGAGACACGGUCCAAACUCCUACGGGAGGCA